rnacentral:lncRNA from 1 species
CCGGCCUUGCACAAACCGAUCGAGCACCCCUCGGCGGAUGAGUGCUUCGAUCUCAUUUCGGAGCUGGUAACACUCCUCGGUAUCAUGGCCGUGAUCCCGGUGGAAACGGCAAUACUUCCGGAGAUCACGCCGGAUUCUGGUGUCUGGCUUCGGAGGUGGGAGCCGGAUGCAAUCCCGACUCUCAAUCUUCAUGAGGAUUUCAGCCCGAGGAGCGUUAAGGGAUGUGUAUUUUUCAUACCUCUCCUCGGGUGCACGGGCCCGUAGUGGGAACCUUGGGCGGAGUGGUGACCUCUGCUGUGGCGGUCCCCUCAGUCGGGGUGGACUCUUCGGGCGGGGCGGAUUCUUAGCUUGUCGCGGAGAC